AGCGAACGCUGGCGGCAAGCUUAACACAUGCAAGUCGAACGAUGUAGCAAUACAUAGUGGCGGACGGGUGCAUAACACGUGGGAAUCUGCCUUUAGGUACGGAAUAACUCAGGGAAACUUGAGCUAAUACCGUAUAAAAUCUCCGGAUCAAAGAUUUAUCGCCUAAAGAUGAGCCCGCGUCAGAUUAGCUAGUUGGUGGGGUAACGGCCUACCAAGGCGACGAUCUGUAGCUGGUCUUAGAGGAUGAUCAGCCACACUGGGACUGAGACACGGCCCAGACUCCUACGGGAGGCAGGAGUGGGGAAUAUUGGACAAUGGGGGAAACCCUGAUCGAGCUAUGCCGCGUGAGUGAUGAAGGCCGUAGGGUUGUAAAGCUCUUUUAGAUGGGAAGAUAAUGACGGUACCAUCAGAAAAAGCCCCGGCUAACUUCGUGCCAGCCGCCGCAGUAA
rnacentral:rRNA from 1 species